rnacentral:misc_RNA from 1 species
AAGAAAACAACAAACAGGGGCUGCACACUUAUGUCUUGGCAAGGAUACUAUAUGCUAAUUGGAAAGAAAGCUAAGCAAGAAACUAUGCUUAUGGCAGCCAACUGCAGUGAGCAAAAAUGUAACAAAAUGCCACUGUUAAUGGACGUUCAAGAAUGAAAACAAACAGAUGAACUUCCCCUUCCCAGAAAAUACACAUUUCAAAACCAUAACAGAGUAGAACCAGCCCUUAAGAUUAUAUCCAACCAGCCCUUAAGAGAAUAAUGGCUUAAAAAUGAAUGCGGAACGAAAACGACCACUCAUGACAACAUUCCGAAGAAGAUACACAACCUCAUAUGCAUUCUUGGACCAUAUAUUCGAGUCCAUCACUGUGAAUGAACGAAAACAAGCUCAAAAGAUUUCAAAAAUCAAUCCAACAAUAACAUACCUUAUCCAAAUCCUAUGAACAAGACCGACAGACCUAUCAUUCUAUCCUCAAUCUUCAUGGGUGUUUGAAGACGAGCAGCCCACAUCAACAACAUAUAUAGAACUUAAACACGAAACAAGCUAUUCGAAACCAAAUGAAACUCUCAUCACUAUCAAAGAUAACUCACAGAGAAUGGAAAACAAACGAGCAAGAGGAGGAAAAACCAACGGAGAACUUCAUGCUCGCAGAAACAUAACAAAAUAAAAUAACGAGUGAGUUGAGAUUAAGGAAGUUCACCUUCUCCGGGGCAGCGAGCUAGAGACGAUGCGAGCAGGGGAUGU